UGGGGAAUUUUGGACAAUGGGCGCAAGCCUGAUCCAGCCAUGCCGCGUGUCUGAAGAAGGCCUUCGGGUUGUAAAGGACUUUUGUCAGGGAAGAAAAGGCUGUUGCUAAUAUCGACAGCUGAUGACGGUACCUGAAGAAUAAGCACCGGCUAACUACGUGCCAGCAGCCGCGGUAAUACGUAGGGUGCGAGCGUUAAUCGGAAUUACUGGGCGUAAAGCGAGCGCAGACGGUUACUUAAGCAGGAUGUGAAAUCCCCGGGCUCAACCUGGGAACUGCGUUCUGAACUGGGUGACUAGAGUGUGUCAGAGGGAGGUAGAAUUCCACGUGUAGCAGUGAAAUGCGUAGAGAUGUGGAGGAAUACCGAUGGCGAAGGCAGCUUCCUGGGAUAACACUGACGUUCAUGCUCGAAAGCGUGGGUAGCAAACAGGAUUAGAUACCCUGGUAGUCCACGCCCUAAACGAUGUCAAUUAGCUGUUGGGCAACUUGAUUGCUUAGUAGCGUAGCUAACGCGUGAAAUUGACCGCCUGGGGAGUACGGUCGCAAGAUUA
rnacentral:rRNA from 1 species